AGGCUUAACACAUGCAAGUCGAGGGGCAGCAUGGUCUUAGCUUGCUAAGGCCGAUGGCGACCGGCGCACGGGUGAGUAACACGUAUCCAACCUGCCGUCUACUCUUGGACAGCCUUCUGAAAGGAAGAUUAAUACAAGAUGGCAUCAUGAGUCCACAUGUUCACAUGAUUAAAGGUAUUCCGGUAGACGAUGGGGAUGCGUUCCAUUAGAUAGUAGGCGGGGUAACGGCCCACCUAGUCUUCGAUGGAUAGGGGUUCUGAGAGGAAGGUCCCCCACAUUGGAACUGAGACACGGUCCAAACUCCUACGGGAGGCAGCAGUGAGGAAUAUUGGUCAAUGGGCGAGAGCCUGAACCAGCCAAGUAGCGUGAAGGAUGACUGCCCUAUGGGUUGUAAACUUCUUUUAUAAAGGAAUAAAGUCGGGUAUGCAUACCCGUUUGCAUGUACUUUAUGAAUAAGGAUCGGCUAACUCCGUGCCAGCAGCCGCGGUAAUACGGAGGAUCCGAGCGUUAUCCGGAUUUAUUGGGUUUAAAGGGAGCGUAGAUGGAUGUUUAAGUCAGUUGUGAAAGUUUGCGGCUCAACCGUAAAAUUGCAGUUGAUACUGGAUAUCUUGAGUGCAGUUGAGGCAGGCGGAAUUCGUGGUGUAGCGGUGAAAUGCUUAGAUAUCACGAAGAACUCCGAUUGCGAAGGCAGCCUGCUAAGCUGCAACUGACAUUGAGGCUCGAAAGUGUGGGUAUCAAACAGGAUUAGAUACCCUGGUAGUCCACACGGUAAACGAUGAAUACUCGCUGUUUGCGAUAUACUGCAAGCGGCCAAGCGAAAGCGUUAAGUAUUCCACCUGGGGAGUACGCCGGCAACGGUGAAACUCAAAGGAAUUGACGGGGGCCCGCACAAGCGGAGGAACAUGUGGUUUAAUUCGAUGAUACGCGAGGAACCUUACCCGGGCUUAAAUUGCAGAUGAAUUACGGUGAAAGCCGUAAGCCGCAAGGCAUCUGUGAAGGUGCUGCAUGGUUGUCGUCAGCUCGUGCCGUGAGGUGUCGGCUUAAGUGCCAUAACGAGCGCAACCCUUGUUGUCAGUUACUAACAGGUUCUGCUGAGGACUCUGACAAGACUGCCAUCGUAAGAUGUGAGGAAGGUGGGGAUGACGUCAAAUCAGCACGGCCCUUACGUCCGGGGCUACACACGUGUUACAGUGGGGGGUACAGAGGGCCGCUACCACGCGAGUGGAUGCCAAUCCAAAAAACCUCUCUCAGUUCGGACUGGAGUCUGCAACCCGACUCCACGAAGCUGGAUUCGCUAGUAAUCGCGCAUCAGCCACGGCGCGGUGAAUACGUUCCCGGGCCUUGUACACACCGCCCGUCAAGCCAUGGGAGCCGGGGGUACCUGAAGUGCGUAACCACGAGGAGCGCCCUAGGGUAAAACUGGUGACUGGGGCUAAG
rnacentral:rRNA from 1 species